AAAAAUUGAGGUAUUCAUACCUCUUUUUGUAUUUAAAACCUUACUCUAUAAAACCUAAAAAAUUUUAUAUAAGAAAAUGAA
rnacentral:misc_RNA from 1 species